AAAACUUUAAGUUAAAUAAACUAAUAGCCUUCAAAGCUAUAAAUAAAAGAAUAACUUUUAAGUUUUA
rnacentral:tRNA from 1 species